rnacentral:misc_RNA from 1 species
ACAUUACAAUAAAUGUUUAUCUUGUAUACAUUUAACUUCAUGCAGUUGGAAAUUCAUUUAAAGUACAUUGUUUUGAAAAGUAGUACUACUGAACAAUAUUCACUAUGUGUAAUAUCAACUAUCAAAACAAACACGCGUGACACAUGGAAGUUCACGUGCAUCACUAUGAUAAACACUUUGGCCGUAUGACGAACGAUCAUUCUGUCCAUGUUUAAAAAUGGAACGCAUCGCCAUACAUCUGUCAAAACAAUAGUGAAGUUAGUUAGUGAGUGAAGUGCGUGCGAGUGUUUGUUGUGAUGGCCCUCAGGUCUGUGAUGUCGUGUAAAAUACCAAUGGUUGUUAUAUUAGGAGCUACGGGAACGGGAAAGACUAAGUUAGGUGUGGAGUUAGCUCAAAAAUUUGGUUCAGAAAUAAUAAGUGCCGAUUCGAUGCAAACUCGGAGUGGGAAUCGAACCCACAA